GAUGAACGCUGGCGGCGUGCCUAAUACAUGCAAGUCGAGCGAACAGGCGAGGAGCUUGCUCCUCUGACGUUAGCGGCGGACGGGUGAGUAACACGUGGAUAACCUACCUAUCAGACGGGGAUAACUUCGGGAAACGGGAGCUAAUACCGCAUAAUAUAUUGAACCGCAUGGUUCAAUGGUGAAAGACGGUGUUAGUGUCACUUAUAGAUGGAUCCGCGCCGCAUUAGCUAGUUGGUAAGGUAACGGCUUACCAAGGCCACGAUGCGUAGCCGACCUGAGAGGGUGAUCGGCCACACUGGAACUGAGACACGGUCCAGACUCCUACGGGAGGCAGCAGUAGGGAAUCUUCCGCAAUGGGCGAAAGCCUGACGGAGCAACGCCGCGUGAGUGAUGAAGGUCUUCGGAUCGUAAAACUCUGUUAUUAGGGAAGAACAAAUGCGUAAGUAACUGUGAGCGUCUUGACGGUACCUAACCAGAAAGCCACGGCUAACUACGUG
rnacentral:rRNA from 1 species